rnacentral:rRNA from 1 species
CCUACGGGAGGCAGCAGUGGGGAAUUUUGGACAAUGGGCGCAAGCCUGAUCCAGCAAUGCCGCGUGAGUGAAGAAGGCCUUCGGGUUGUAAAGCUCUUUUGUCAGGGAAGAAACGGUGAAGGCUAAUAUCUUUUGCUAAUGACGGUACCUGAAGAAUAAGCACCGGCUAACUACGUGCCAGCAGCCGCGGUAAUACGUAGGGUGCAAGCGUUAAUCGGAAUUACUGGGCGUAAAGCGUGCGCAGGCGGUUUUGUAAGUUUGUCGUGAAAUCCCCGGGCUCAACCUGGGAAUGGCGAUGAAGACUGCAAGGCUAGAAUCUGGCAGAGGGGGGUUAGAAUUCCACGUGUAGCAGUGAAAUGCGUAGAGAUGUGGAGGAACACCGAUGGCGAAGGCAGCCCCCUGGGUCAAGAUUGACGCUCAUGCACGAAAGCGUGGGGAGCAAACAGGAUUAGAUACCCUGGUAGUCCACGCCCUAAACGAUGUCUACUAGUUGUCGGGUUUUAAUUAACUUGGUAACGCAGCUACGACGUGAGUAGACCGCCGUCGGGAGGUACGGUCGCGAGAAUUAAAACGUUAAAACGGUAAAGUUAGUACGGCGUGAGACGUGCCGACGGACGACGACGAGGGAGGUAGG